rnacentral:rRNA from 1 species
CCUACGGGUGGCAGCAGUGAGGAAUAUUGGUCAAUGGACGGAAGUCUGAACCAGCCAUGCAGCGUGCAGGAUGACGGCUCUAUGAGUUGUAAACUGCUUUUGUACGAGAAUAAUAGUUCUUACGUGUAGGGUUUUGAAUGUAUCUUAUGAAUAAGGAUCGGCUAACUCCGUGCCAGCAGCCGCGGUAAUACGGAGGAUUCGAGCGUUAUCCGGAUUUAUUGGGUUUAAAGGGUGCGUAGGCUGUCUGUUAAGUUAGAGGUCAAAUGUCGGGGCUUAACCCCGUGCCUGCAUGUGAUACUGGUCGACUAGAGUGCGGAUGCAGCAGGCGGAAUGAGUGGUGUAGCGGUGAAAUGCUUAGAUAUUACUCAGAACACCGAUUGCGAAGGCAGCUUGCUAGUCCGCAUCUGACGCUGAUGCACGAAAGCGUGGGUAGCGAACAGGAUUAGAUACCCGUGUAGUC